AUUCUGGUACGCUUGUACCAGAAACGUGCGCGGGACGGCGGGGACUGCCACCCGGCGCGCACGG
rnacentral:ncRNA from 1 species